rnacentral:rRNA from 1 species
ACGGCUCAGUAACACGUAGAUAACCUACCCUAAGGUUGGGGAUAAUCCCGGGAAACUGGGCAUAAUCCCCAAUAGAUAAGCUGUACUGGAAUGUCUCCUUAUCCAAACCUCCGGGGCCUUAGGAUGGGUCUGCGGCGGAUUAUGGUAGUAGGUGGGGUAACGGCCCACCUAGCCUUUGAUCCGUACCGGACAUGAGAGUGUGUGCCGGGAGAUGGCCACUGAGACAAGGGGCCAGGCCCCACGGGGUGCAGCAGGCGCGAAAACUCUACAAUGCCCGAAAGGGUGAUAGGGGAAUCCCGAGUGCUUCCUUAGCCGGAAGCUUUUCCCGAGCGUAAUGUUCUCGGGGAAUAAGGGGAGGGCAAGGCUGGUGCCAGCCGCCGCGGUAAAACCAGCUCCCCGAGUGGUCAGGAUGAUUAUUGGGCCUAAAGCGUCCGUAGCCGGUCGUGUAAGUCGUUGGUGAAAGGUCGGGUCUUAAGCCCGAAUUUGCUAGCGAUACUGCGCGACUUGGGACCGGAAGAGGCAAAUGGUACGUUGAGGGUAGGGGUGAAAUCCUGUAAUCCCCAACGGACCACCGGUGGCGAAGGCGAUUUGCUGGGACGGAUCCGACGGUGAGGGACGAAACCCAGGGGAGCGAGCGGGAUUAGAUACCCCGGUAGUCCUGGGUGUAAACGAUGCGCACUAGGUGUUGGCGAAGCUACGAGCUCCGUCGGUGCCGAAGCGAAGCGUUAAGUGCGCCGCCUGGGGAGUACGGUCGCAAGACUGAAACUUAAAGGAAUUGGCGGGGGAG